CCUACGGGUGGCUGCAGUAGGGAAUAUUGCUCAAUGGGGGAAACCCUGAAGCAGCAACGCCGCGUGGAGGAUGAAGGUUUUCUGAUUGUUAACUCCUUUUGUUAGAGAAGAUAAUGACGGUAUCUAACGAAUAAGCACCGGCUAACUCCGUUCCAGCAGCCGCGGUAAUACGGAGGGUGCAACCGUUACUCGGAAUUAAUGGGCGUAAAGAGCGCGUAGGCGGGAUAGCAAGUCAGAUGUGAAAUCCUAGGGCUUAACCAUAGAACUGCAUUUGAAACUGUUAUUCUAGAGUAUAGGAGAGGUAGGUGGAAUUCGUGGUGUAGGGGUAAAAUCCGUAGAGAUCAAGAAGAAUACUGAUUGCGAAGGCGGCCUGCUAGAACAUAACUGACGCUGAUGCGCGAGAGCGUGGGGAGCGAACAGGAUUAGAUACCCCUGUAGUC
rnacentral:rRNA from 1 species